rnacentral:rRNA from 1 species
UACGAAGGGGGCGAGCGUUGUUCGGAUUUACUGGGCGUAAAGGGCGCGCAGGCGGCCGCAUUUGUCAGGCGUGAAAGCCCCGGGCUUAACCUGGGAACUGCGUUUGAUACGGUGUGGCUAGAGUUCGGGAGAGGAGAGUGGAAUUCCCAGUGUAGCGGUGAAAUGCGUAGAUAUUGGGAGGAACACCGGUGGCGAAGGCGGCUACCUGGACCGGAUCUGACGCUGAUGCGCGAAAGCGUGGGGAGCAAACAGG